rnacentral:misc_RNA from 1 species
GGGUUUAGCCGAGAGACCCAUCUCUGUGGGCAACUAAAGGAAGGUUUACCCAGGAUAAUAUAUGAAUAUCAUUUCUGCAUAGCAGCAGAUGCUUAUUAGGUUUAGAGAUCUUUUUCUUUGCUGUUAUUUCUAGGUAUAUAUUUACCACUUUACCCUUUUUAUUUUGGCUUUUAGUUUAGUCCCUGCCUCCAGUUGCUCUGUUUUUGGGAUUUACUGAACUUGUAUAUAUCUCUCUUCUUCUUCUUCUUCUUC